rnacentral:rRNA from 1 species
UACAGAGGGGGCAAGCGUUAUUCGGAAUUAUUGGGCGUAAAGGGCGCGUAGGCGGCCUGGCAAGUGAGGGGUGAAAGCCCUCGGCUCAACCGAGGAACUGCCUGUCAUACUGCCGGGCUUGAGUCCGGGAGAGGUGAGUGGAAUUCCCAGUGUAGCGGUGAAAUGCGUAGAUAUUGGGAGGAACACCAGUGGCGAAGGCGGCUCACUGGACCGGAACUGACGCUGAGGCGCGAAAGCGUGGGGAGCAAACAGG